rnacentral:rRNA from 1 species
AUUGAACGCUGGCGGCAUGCCUUACACAUGCAAGUCGAACGGCAGCGGACCUUCGGGUGCCGGCGAGUGGCGAACGGGUGAGUAAUGUAUCGGAACGUACCUUUCAGUGGGGGAUAACGUAGCGAAAGUUACGCUAAUACCGCAUAUUCUGUGAGCAGGAAAGCAGGGGAUCGCAAGACCUUGCGCUGAUUGAGCGGCCGAUAUCAGAUUAGCUAGUUGGUGAGGUAAAGGCUCACCAAGGCGACGAUCUGUAGCGGGUCUGAGAGGAUGGUCCGCCACACUGGAACUGAGACACGGUCCAGACUCCUACGGGAGGCAGCAGUGGGGAAUUUUGGACAAUGGGGGCAACCCUGAUCCAGCCAUGCCGCGUGAGUGAUGAAGAUCCUCGGAUCGUAAAACCCUGUCAGGUGGGAUGAAAUACCAUUCGGUUAACACCCGAGUGGCUUGACAGUACCACCAGAGGAAGCUCCGGCCAACUCCGUGCCAGCAGCCGCAGUAAAAC